rnacentral:rRNA from 1 species
CGAGAAGCUUGCUUCUCUGAUGUUAGCGGCGGACGGGUGAGUAACACGUGGAUAACCUACCUAUAAGACUGGGAUAACUUCGGGAAACCGGGGCUAAUACCGGAUAAUAUUUUGAACCGCAUGGUUCAAAAGUAAAAGACGGUCUUGCUGUCACUUAUAGAUGGAUCCGCGCUGCAUUAGCUAGUUGGUAAGGUAACGGCUUACCAAGGCAACGAUGCAUAGCCGACCUGAGAGGGUGAUCGGCCACACUGGAACUGAGACACGGUCCAGACUCCUACGGGAGGCAGCAGUAGGGAAUCUUCCGCAAUGGGCGAAAGCCUGACGGAGCAACGCCGCGUGAGUGAUGAAGGUCUUCGGAUCGUAAAACUCUGUUAUUAGGGAAGAACAUAUGUGUAAGUAACUGUGCACAUCUUGACGGUACCUAAUCAGAAAGCCACGGCUAACUACGUGCCAGCAGCCGCGGUAAUACGUAGGUGGCAAGCGUUAUCCGGAAUUAUUGGGCGUAAAGCGCGCGUAGGCGGUUUUUUAAGUCUGAUGUGAAAGCCCACGGCUCAACCGUGGAGGGUCAUUGGAAACUGGAAAACUUGAGUGCAGAAGAGGAAAGUGGAAUUCCAUGUGUAGCGGUGAAGUGCGCAGAGAUAUGGAGGAACACCAGUGGCGAAGGCGACUUUCUGGUCUGUAACUGACGCUGAUGUGCGAAAGCGUGGGGAUCAAACAGGAUUAGAUACCCUGGUAGUCCACGCCGUAAACGAUGAGUGCUAAGUGUUAGGGGGUUUCCGCCCCUUAGUGCU